rnacentral:rRNA from 1 species
CUUACUAUCUCUUCGGUAGCAUUUUACGUAGGUGCUGCAUGGUUGUCGUCAGCUCGUGCCGUGAGGUGUCGGGUUAAGUCCCAUAACGAGCGCAACCCCUACCCUUUAGUUGCCAUCAGGUAAUGCUGGGGACGUCUAAAGGAACUGCCUACGCAAGUAGUGAGGAAGGCGGGGAUGACGUCAAAUCAGCACGGCCCUUACGUCCAGGGCUACACACGUGCUACAAUGGCCGAUAUAGAGGGCAGCUACCUGGUGACAGGAUGCAAAUCUCCAAAGUCGGUCUCAGUUCGGAUCGGAGUCUGCAACCCGACUCCGUGAAGUUGGAUUCGCUAGUAAUCGCGCAUCAGCCAUGGCGCGGUGAAUACGUUCCCGGGCCUU